CAGGAGAGGAAAAAGAUGAAGCACAAGACGAUCCAGUUGCCAGUGACUCAGAGGUAGUUCUUGAUCUGUGUGGCCGCCGCCUGAAGCGCCUGGAGAAGGCACCUGCCAACCAGGCCUUUGCAACGGCACUUGUCUUGGACAACAACUGCCUCCAAAACCUCUCCAACCUCGACAGCUAUGGGGAACUUGAGAGGGUGAGGGAAUGAUUUUCAUGUGAUUAUUGAUUUUUUUUAUUAUUUAUUUUUUUAUUUAUUCAUUAUUAUUUUUUAUUCAUUAUUAUUAUUUUUUAUUUAUUUAUCAUAUUUUUUGAUAAUGGUAGUAGUAGUAGUAUUGAAGUUAACAUCAUAUUGAUUUUUUUUUUUAAUUAAAAUUAUUUAUAACUGUUGUUACUUUCAUUAUCAUUGAUGCUGAUAUAGCUAAUUGUUGUUAACAUUAAUAAUGUUAUUAUUUUGAUUAUUAUUAUUGAUAUUAAUAUUAAUAGAUAUUUAUUAUUAUUAU